UACGUAGGGACCAAGCGUUGUUCGGAUUUACUGGGCGUAAAGAGCUCGUAGGCGGCUUGUCGCGUCGAAUGUGAAAACCCACGGCUCAACCUCGGGCCUGCAGUGGGUACGGGCAAACUAGAGUGUGGUAGGGGGAGACUGGAAUUCCUGGUGUAGCGGUGAAAUGCGCAGAUAUCAGGAGGAACACCGAUGGCGAAGGCAGGUCUCUGGGCCAUAACUGACGCUGAGAAGCGAAAGCAUGGGGAGCGAACAGG
rnacentral:rRNA from 1 species